rnacentral:tRNA from 1 species
AUAUUAUUAGUUUAUAUAAAAACAAUGGAUUGUGGAACCAUAACAACUUAAAUUAUU